UGUCUUCGGGGCGGGGUGAAAGUCCCCACCGGCGGUGAUGCGGCUAGGUCCGCUAAGCCCGCGAGCAGGCUGUUUGAUGAACAAGCCCGGCCGAUCAGGUGUGAAUCCUGAGCCGACGGUAUAGUCCGGAUGGAAGAAGGUA
rnacentral:ncRNA from 1 species